rnacentral:rRNA from 1 species
UACGGGGGGAGCAAGCGUUGUUCGGAAUUACUGGGCGUAAAGCGCGUGUAGGCGGCAGGGCAAGUCGGAUGUGAAAGCCCACGGCUCAACCGUGGAAGUGCACCCGAAACUGCCUCGCUAGAGUCUCGGAGAGGAAGGUGGAAUGCUUGGUGUAGAGGUGAAAUUCGUAGAUAUCAAGCGGAACACCGGUGGCGAAGGCGGCCUUCUGGACGAUGACUGACGCUGAGGAGCGAAAGCGUGGGGAGCGAACAGG